GACGAACGCUGGCGGCGUGCCUAACACAUGCAAGUGGAGCGACGAACCAGGCUUCGGCCUGGGGCAAAGCCGCGAACGGGUGAGUAACACGUGGGUAACCUGCCCUGAUGAUUGGGACAACCCGAGGAAACUCGGGCUAAUACCAAAUGUGCCCUUCGGCCACAAGGCCGCUGGGGAAAGGAAGCUUCGGCCUCCGCAUCUGGAUGGGCCCGCGGCCCAUUAGCUUGUUGGUGAGGUAACGGCUCACCAAGGCGACGAUGGGUAGGCUGGUCUGAGAGGACGAUCAGCCACACUGGGACUGAGACACGGCCCAGACUCCUACGGGAGGCAGCAGUGGGGAAUCUUGCGCAAUGCGCGAAAGCGUGACGCAGCAACGCCGCGUGGGGGAAGACGGCC
rnacentral:rRNA from 1 species